rnacentral:rRNA from 1 species
GUUAGCAUAUCAAUAAGCGGAGGAAAAGAAACCAACAGGGAUUGCCUUAGUAACUGCGAGUGAAGCGGCAAGAGCUCAGAUUUGAAAUCUGUCGCCUUCGGCGGCCGAGUUGUAAUCUGGAGAGGCAUCUUCUGGCGGGCGGCCGGUCCAAGUUCCUUGGAACAGGACGUCAGAGAGGGUGAGAAUCCCGUAUCUGGCCGGUGCGUUCUGCCUUGUGAAGUGUCUUCGACGAGUCGAGUUGUUUGGGAAUGCAGCUCAAAAUGGGUGGUAAAUUUCAUCUAAAGCUAAAUAUUGGCGGGAGACCGAUAGCGCACAAGUAGAGUGAUCGAAAGAUGAAAAGCACUUUGAAAAGAGAGUCAAAAAGUACGUGAAAUUGUUGAAAGGGAAGCGCUUGAGACCAGACUCGGGCUUGGGUGAUCAGCCGCGGUUCUCCGCGGUGCACGCGCCUUUGCCCGGGCCAGCAUCGGUUUCGGCGGCGGGAUAAAGGUCGGGGUAAUGUGGCUCCCUUCGGGGAGUGUUAUAGACCCCGGCGUCAUGCCGCCAGUCGGGACCGAGGACCGCGCUUCGGCUAGGAUGCUGGCGUAAUGGUCUUCAGCGACCCGUCUUGAAACACGGACCAAGGAGUCUAACAUCUAUGCGAGUGUUCGGGUGUCAAACCCCUGCGCGUAAUGAAAGUGAACGGAGGUGGGAACCCCUUGCGGGGCGCACCAUCGACCGAUCCUGAUGUCUUCGGAUGGAUUUGAGUAGGAGCAUAGCUGUUGGGACCCGAAAGAUGGUGAACUAUGCCUGAAUAGGGUGAAGCCAGAGGAAACUCUGGUGGAGGCUCGCAGCGGUUCUGACGUGCAAAUCGAUCGUCAAAUUUGGGUAUAGGGGCGAAAGACUAAUCGAAUCAUCUAGUAACUGGGUCCUGCCAAAAUUUUCCCUCAGGAA